rnacentral:rRNA from 1 species
AUGCGUGGCCUCGCCGAUGAGCUCGCCUCGGCCGGCAAAGCCAUCCAGGAUGACGAGCUGAUCUCCUACAUCAUCCAUGGGCUGGACAUGGACUACCAGCCCCUUGUCUCGGCCCUCGAUGCCUGCGUCACGACCGUCUCCCUCGACGAGCUCUUUGCCAUGCUCAGCAACUUCGAUCAGCGCAUGGCCCAGUUCUAG